UCUUUUCUGAAAAGAAAUUAAUACCAUUAUGAUCUCUAUUAGCUAUUGAGUAUAGUCAAUUUUUUUUUUUAUCGGAGUAGAGCGGAUUUACGAUGUUGUGUUAGUUUCAGGUGUACAGCAAAGUGAAUCAGUUAUACAUAUACAUGUAUCCUCUCUUUUUUAGAUUCUUUUUCCACAUAGGCCAUUACAGAGUAUUGAGUACUGUUCCCUGUGCUAUACAGUAGGUCCUUAUUAUUAUUAGCUACUUAUAUAUAAAAGUUCUGGGUACGGGGAUGGUUUUUAUUUCCACGUUAUCACGUGAAAAAUUUGGAAACAACCCAAAUGUCCAAUCACUGUCGAAUGAUUAAGCAAACAGUGGUGAACUGCUAUGCAUCCAAAAGGGGCUGUUGAUAAAGAAUUCAUAAUCAUGUGGAAAAUGCACUUGUUAAGUCAAACAAGUGAGACAUAAAAGGAUAGACUCAGUAUGGUCUCAACUGGGUAAAACAUUAUAGAGAAAAAUAUGGGAAUGUACCUAUGAGGUUAAGAAUGUUUGUCUCUGUGUUAAAAGUAUGAGUGUUUCCUUUUUCUCUCCUAUUUUCUGUAUCUUCCAGGUUAUCUACAGCAAGCAUGUAUUACUUUUAUAAUAGAAAAAUGCUAUGGACAGAUAUAUGUGUGUAUACAUAUAUACAUACAUAGAUGUUGUGGUACUUAGUAUAUGCAAAUGUGAAGGAGCCCUCACCAUCUCAGUUAGAAACGCUAAAGAGAAUGAGAAGGGCUCUCUGUGUCCCCACCUAGUCAUCCCCAUCCUGCAAAGUCCUGUGGUUCCUGCCAACCCAGGAGCUUCUCUCCCUCUCUGCAGUCACCUCCCUCACUCACUUGUCAGCACAGAGCUUCCUGGACCAGAGGACUAGACACUUUCUUUCACACAGGCAACUAACGCAAGCAGAGUUUCCCAGAAGCUGAAGCUGGGUGUGCCUGCCUUGUGGUGACACUGAAAAGGCUCUGGUCUAGGAGGCACUGCUGGUGCUACACAAGCCACCUGGCCAUGGGAUCUCAGACAUCAGGAGACAUCGGUGGCUGCGAAAGGGAGUCUCAGGAGCCCCAGCUCGCGUCCUUCUACCUGGGGCAGGAAGAUCGUGACAAAAAAGCAAGAGCACAGCACAUGUGGAGCAUUGAAAACCCUAGGGUCCCGGGACAACGAAGGAAACCAAGCGAGGAGAAAAGUUCAGGGUACAGGGUCUGUCCAGAUGUGGCACAGAAUCCCCUGAGUAUCCCCCUUUCGGGAAUCGAUUAUAAGAUAAUAAUCAAGCCCAUGGCCAAAGGUUUAGGUCCAAAGAUGGGCUUUUCAGUGCCAUUUAUAAAAGUGGAAAAUUAGAAGUACCGUCACUGAAUGUGUUACUUUGGACAAGACACCCAUCUCUCCGAGCCCCAGUUACAUCAACUACAAAAUGGGAAAAAUAAUAAUCCUCGCUUUAUGAAUUGACUGCAAAGAUUAAAUAAGGUAGCACAUGGAAUGUGCUUUGCAUGGUACUUGUCACAGAGUAAGGGUCACUAAAUAGCCAUUGGUAAAAUUACAUCCAAAAAUAAUAUAUCACUUGCGCAACUGGUGGUAUGCCAAAAGAGCCUGAAAUCAUACAGCAAUUCAAAGCGGAUUUCUUUCCAAAAAGAUUUACUGAUAAGGGGGUCAAAGCUACGGUAUAAUGCAUAAUAAUAUUUACCUAUAUUUUUUUCAUAUAAAAAUGUGCAUAUUUAUAAUGGAGAAGUGGACUUUAUUUUUCUUUUUGGAACUUCAGGUUUGUGACCUAAUGUCACGCGUGGCUGAGGACAGGGACAGCUUGACCAAAUGUGGGAGGGGCCUGGGAAGCCAGGUACAGCCAGGGAGCAUGCUUCUCCUCAGCAGCUGACCUUCAACUCUGAGAAACAUUUUCUCGUCUCCCAUACUGAUUUUGGGGUGUGUGUCUGUGUGUCUGUGUGUCUGUGAGAGAGAAAGAGAGACAGAGAGAGAGAGACAGAAAGUCCCCGACCACAUAUGGAUUCUCCAGAGCCGUGUUUCCAGAUUGUUCUCCCCCAUCAAGGGGCUUGUUCAAAAUGCAGAUUCAAAAUCUAGA